GGAAGAGGCGGUGCUUGGGACGGCUGGCUUGUAGCCGAACCACUGAGAUAGCAGGUGGUCCAUGAAGUCACAGGAACGGGGAAGCAGCAUCCCUGCACCGCCUGUCUGAAUAGAAGCCAGAAGACCAAUAGCAUCAACCAUCAGUGCCAGCAAAAUCACUGUAUCCAUACUUCAGCAAACAUCAGGGUACUUGGAGAAUACA